CUACCUUUUUUUUUUAAGUAGUGCAAUUACUACCUUCUCAGCUGGUGUUAGUUCAUGUUUGGAAACUCUCACAGCCACUACUCGGUUUGAUUGAUGUGUACUUGUUACAAUUUUCAGUAGCAAGUGUGUCACAUAUUUCCAAAUACCAUUAUGAGUCAUCUUUUCUAUUCGACUUCUUACUUCUGAUUGAUAUAUUUGAUUUGUAUCUUCUGCUAUGACAUGUCUCCGCAUUUAGAUUGACCAUAUCAGUGUUACAUGUACAGUUAUGCCAUCCUGAUUCCAGUUAUGCCAUCCUGAUUCCGCCUUCUCUUUGCUUAGUAUAUAUAUGUUUAAUUCAUGUUCCAGUAUGUGCUGCAAAAAUAGUUUUAUUGUUAUAUGCUAAAUAAAUUAAUAUGGUCUGACUUAGCGGUGGACCAAAUUAAUUUAUUUUCCUUUCUGAAGCCUCCAUUUCUAGGUAGAUAUAAAUCGCGACAUCGAGCACGUGACGAGUUUAUCUUUCUCUUGCAUGAGCAAGAACAAGCCAAUUGCUGCAUGAAAGAGAUAAUUUGUUUGCCUUCUCUAAAAUAUUUACUUUUCUUUGUAAAGUUUUAGCCUAUAAAUAUAACAGUUAACAUGUCAGUAAUCACACCAAGUAAUGGCAGCCUCGGCUAUAUAUAAUAAAAUAAAGUAUUUGCCAGAUGUUGGUUGUCAUGUUUUAUAGUUCUGUCCAUGCUGCUUAUUAUGUGUUGUUCAUGCUUUAACUUGUUUCUCAUGCAAAAUUAUUCAGCCUUUUGUGCAAGCUAUGGUUGAUUCUGCUACAACAUACAUAUUGGUCUUAGGACCAACACUGUUGCCAAGUCGGGUGGGACGGGUAAGAAACCAAAGCAGUAGUUGGUCUGCUAUGCUAUGUCUGCACAUGAUGUUUGUAUAUUAGGGUGGUGACGAUGGUGCUGUCUUGACACACUGGCAAAAGAUGAAUCGGUUGCAGAUUAAAUGAUUUUUUUAUUAUUAUGUAGCUUCUAUUUCUUGGUUCAAUGCAAUCUGGUAUUUUUGCCGUAGAGUUUUAUGUUGACAUUACUGUCACUUCACUUGCAAUAUGGUAUUGUUGCCACUUCAAAAUUUGCAUUAUUAUUUGAUCAAAUUCAA